UACUUGUUACCAAGGAAACAUCACCCAAAG
rnacentral:piRNA from 1 species